rnacentral:rRNA from 1 species
GACGAACGCUGGCGGCGUGCUUAACACAUGCAAGUCGAACGGAAAGGCCCCUUUGGGGGUACUCGAGUGGCGAACGGGUGAGUAACACGUGAGUAACCUGCCCUUGACUUCGGGAUAACUUCAGGAAACUGGGGCUAAUACCGGAUAGGAAUCCUUGCUGCAUGGUGGGGGUUGGAAAGCUUCGGCGGUUUUGGAUGGACUCGCGGCUUAUCAGCUUGUUGGUGGGGUAGUGGCUUACCAAGGCUUUGACGGGUAGCCGGCCUGAGAGGGCGACCGGCCACAUUGGGACUGAGAUACGGCCCAGACUCCUACGGGAGGCAGCAGUGGGGAAUAUUGCACAAUGGGCGGAAGCCUGAUGCAGCAACGCCGCGUGCGGGAUGACGGCCUUCGGGUUGUAAACCGCUUUCAGCAGGGGCGAAGCUUGUGGUGACGGUACCUGCAGAAGAAGCACCGACUAACUACGUG